rnacentral:rRNA from 1 species
GGAUCCAGACUUUGAUUAUGGCUCAGGAUGAACGCUAGCGGCAGGCCUAAUACAUGCAAGUCGAACGGGAUUGGAGAGCUUGCUUUCCAUGAGAGUGGCGUACGGGUGCGUAACGCGUAUGCAACCUACCUUCAUCAGGGGGAUAGCCCGAAGAAAUUCGGAUUAACACCGCAUAACAUUAUUGGAUGGCAUCAUUUAAUAAUCAAAUAUUUAUAGGAUGAAGAUGGGCAUGCGUGUCAUUAGCUAGUUGGCGAGGUAACGGCUCACCAAGGCGACGAUGACUAGGGGAUCUGAGAGGAUGACCCCCCACACUGGUACUGAGACACGGACCAGACUCCUACGGGAGGCAGCAGUAAGGAAUAUUGGUCAAUGGAGGCAACUCUGAACCAGCCAUGCCGCGUGCAGGAAGACUGCCUUAUGGGUUGUAAACUGCUUUUAUACGGGAAUAAACCUUGAUUCGUGAAUCGAGCUGAAUGUACCGUAAGAAUAAGGAUCGGCUAACUCCGUGCCAGCAGCCGCGGUAAUACGGAGGAUCCAAGCGUUAUCCGGAUUUAUUGGGUUUAAAGGGAGCGUAGGCGGCCUAUUAAGUCAGGGGUGAAAGACGGUGGCUCAACCAUCGCAGUGCCUUUGAUACUGGUAGGCUUGAAUGUAGUUGAGGUAGGCGGAAUGUGACAAGUAGCGGUGAAAUGCAUAGAUAUGUCACAGAACACCGAUUGCGAAGGCAGCUUACUAAGCUAUGAUUGACGCUGAGGCUCGAAAGCGUGGGGAUCAAACAGGAUUAGAUACCCUGGUAGUCCACGCCCUAAACGAUGAUAACUCGAUGUUGGCGAUAUACAGUCAGCGUCCAAGCGAAAGCGUUAAGUUAUCCACCUGGGGAGUACGCCCGCAAGGGUGAAACUCAAAGGAAUUGACGGGGGCCCGCACAAGCGGAGGAGCAUGUGGUUUAAUUCGAUGAUACGCGAGGAACCUUACCCGGGCUUGAAAGUUACUGAAGAAUUUAGAGAUAGAUUCGUCCUUCGGGACAGGAAACUAGGUGCUGCAUGGCUGUCGUCAGCUCGUGCCGUGAGGUGUUGGGUUAAGUCCCGCAACGAGCGCAACCC